CACUUUGUGUGUGUUUCUAAAUCUCCCAAGAUGCGGAACACAUAUAAUUCUACAAAGUGAAGAACUGUACUACAUUAUCAGGAGUUGUACGGUGGCCGGUUUCGAGUGAAUUGGUAUUUAUGUUUGCUCUUGUUUUCCUUAAAUCACAUGUUUGCUAGAGGGUCAUAGUGAGAUGUAUUAGGUUGGAAGAAUAAAUGCAAUUUGAAACUGUACGAGAGCACAUUAGUCAGGGAACACAUUUUCUUCUGCCUAUUGCAAGGAACAGAUAUUGUGGCAAAGUCGGAGGCAAUCAAUCAAGAAAUGGGUAAUUGCCAUGCUUCAAGGAUUAGGGCUGUGUCAUUGCGGAUAGAUGUCAGUAUUGAUGCCUGUGGAUGCAACACCUGAAAAUAACAAGCGCCACCAUGAAUUGGCCCAGCGAGCAUAUUCUUCUUCUAGACCUCCUUCAGGUCACAAGGAAAGUUCUGGAUUAUCGGGGAGGUAUUACAGAAAUGAGAUUAAACUCGAGGAAAGCUGAAGAAAUCCGAUUUAAAUAUUAGACCAAGACAUUUCUCCAGGUCCUAACCAACAUUUUAUUUGUAUAGCACAGCUGUAAUAUCUACAUUUAUAAAUAAUGUUAUUCGACACAGUGUCUAAGUUAUUCCUUUUCCAGGGUCCACGGAGAUAGAACAGAAGCAAUAUGCUUCCGUCACAUAAAUACCCUUCUCUGAAUGCCAGCCUCACCCUCCUCUGGUUGAGCAGGGUCCCGAGAGGAGCGAAUGCACAAUGGCUGGCACACAGCAGACCCUUAAAAAAUUUGAGAUCCCUGAAUCCUUGCCAGGGGCAGAGAGCCUGCUGUUCUCACCCAGGACAGUUUAUCAGGUCACAGUGACCAUCUGGCGUGGUCUGAACUGCUUCGAGGGCCGUCAUUUAGGGCAAAGGCUAAGCUCAAGCUCUUCUUCGGACUUCUGACUUUGAAGGCAGGCGAGGAAACUACACUGUGUGUGUAAUUUUCUAUAUUAU
rnacentral:lncRNA from 12 species